rnacentral:rRNA from 1 species
GACGGAGGGUGCAAGCGUUGUUCGGAAUUACUGGGCGUAAAGGGCGCGUAGGCGGUCUGCUAAGUUCGGUGUGAAAUCCCCUGGCUCAACCGGGGAACUGCGCCGGAAACUGGCAGACUAGAGUCCGGAAGAGGCAAGUGGAAUUCCCGGUGUAGCGGUGAAAUGCGCAGAUAUCGGGAGGAACACCGGUGGCGAAGGCGGUUCUCUGGGCCUUACCUGACGCUGAGGAGCGAAAGCGUGGGGAGCGAACAGG